rnacentral:misc_RNA from 1 species
AGCUAGGAUCCAAAACUGAAAUGGGCUAAAGUGGAAUAAGGUACUGGUAGUCGAUGGCAGAGAAUAAGAACUUUAUUUAUAAUAGUUUCAUGGUGCAUUUUCGAGUUGUACAAUUUCAUGUUUUCUGAAAGCCAUGUAUCAAUUCAAGAGAUUUUGUUUGUCCUUUAGUUUCAACCUCCAAUGGAACAACAAUAUUCUAUGCCUAGAUAGAUUGUAACCACUUUCUUUUGGUUAUGGAAGUAGUUGAACUUGAACUUUUAUCUAAGCUUCAUUAGUCGAUAAAUAUUCAGUUGGAUACCUAGUUGUCAGAAGGUUAGCCAUAAGUUCUUCGAUGA